AGUGAACGCUGGCGGCAGGCCUAACACAUGCAAGUCGAACGGCAGCACAGGGGAGCUUGCUCCCUGGGUGGCGAGUGGCGGACGGGUGAGGAAUACAUCGGAAUCUACCCUUUCGUGGGGGAUAACGUAGGGAAACUUACGCUAAUACCGCAUACGAUCUGAGGAUGAAAGCAGGGGACCGCAAGGCCUUGCGCGAUUGGAUGAGCCGAUGUCCGAUUAGAUAGCUGGCGGGGUAAAGGCCCACCAAGGCGACGAUCGGUAGCUGGUCUGAGGGGAUGAUCAGCCACACUGGAACUGGGACACGGUCCAGGCUCCUAGGGGGGGCAGCAGUGGGGAAUAUUGGAAAAUGGGCGCAAGCCUGAUCCAGCCAUGCCGCGGGGGUGAAGAAGGCCUUCGGGUUGUAAAGCACUUUUGUUGGGAAAGAAAUCCUGUCGGCUAAUACCCGGCGGGGAUGACGGUACCCAAAGAAUAAGCACCGGCUAACUUCGUGCCAGCCGCCGCAGUAACAC
rnacentral:rRNA from 1 species